rnacentral:rRNA from 1 species
GGACGACGCUGGCGGCGUGCCUAACGCAUGCAAGUCGAGCGGGGACAUACGACGGAACCAAAGUUUCGGAUGGAGGUGAAGAUGUAUGUUCUAGCGGCGGACGGGUGAGUAACGCGUGAGCAACCUGUCCCUUACAGGGGGAUAACACAGCGAAAGUUGUACUAAUACCGCAUGAGACCACGGGGAGACAUCUUUCAGGGGUCAAAGGAGCAAUCCGGUAAGGGGUGGGCUCGCGUCCGAUUAGAUAGUUGGUGAGGUAACGGCCCACCAAGUCGACGAUCGGUAGCCGACCUGAGAGGGUGAUCGGCCACAUUGGGACUGAGAUACGGCCCAGACUCCUACGGGAGGCAGCAGUCGGGAAUAUUGCGCAAUGGAGGAAACUCUGACGCAGUGACGCCGCGUAUAGGAAGAAGGUUUUCGGAUUGUAAACUAUUGUCAUUAGGGAAGAUACAAGACAGUACCUAAGGAGGAAGCCCCGGCUAACUAUGUGCCAGCAGCGGC